GACUUUAUUUCUACAUUGAGAUUAUUGUAAUUCUCUAUUAUCAGGAUGUCUGAAAAGCUGCUUAAGGAGUCUUCAGCUGAAUCAAAACGCUGCAGUGAGA